CCCCUUUCAGGCUUACAUCUGAAGAGUUUCCAGCACUCUACCAGUCUCAACUAUGGGAGUGGUGAGCCAAGCAGAGGUAUACCCAUUCCAUUCCUAGCUUGAGCAGUGGCUAGUGAGUGGAAGGCAAUCUGCUACAAGU